GAUAUUCAGCGGGCGGAACUCGGGAUCGUCUUUUUGCCUUGUCUCCUGAGCGACCUGAAAGAGCCCAAAAUAUUCGAUCGCGUCGUUGAUCGAUCCCGUGGCGAGGACAGCGUUAAAGCGGCGACCGCCGGUGGCGGCGUCGUGUUUACGGAGAAUGGCCUCGACUACGGCUUGCUUAACCGCAGGCUCGCCGGGCUUGGGCACAUUUGUCCCCUCCGGAUUGUAAUAGU
rnacentral:misc_RNA from 1 species